GGCAUCUCUUGAAUUUGCUAAACUUAUAAAAGCAAGUUAGAUUAUUUCUUAUGCCUUAAAAUAGUACCUUAUGAGUUGUGAACAAUGUUGAAAGUCAUUUACACAAUUCUUGCCAUUCUUAUGUUUGGUUAAUUAUCUUUGUUUUUUUAUGACAUCCAAUCUUGCCAUUACGUACAUAAUAUAUGUCUAAAUAGUUUAGCCAUUUUCAGGAUUAGUCUUUGUGCCAUUACAUAAAUAAUAUACAUGCCUAAACACAAUGUGCCAUUUUCAGGACUGGUCUUUGAGUUGCAACAGAGCGUUGUCACUAGGAACGCCAUGAUACACGAGUACGCGUGCGACAACGCGGAGGCGCAGGAGUGGGCGUUGGAGUUGUUUAGUGCGAUGCAGGCGGAAGGGUUGGCGCAAUAGAGUGAGAUUAUGUUGCCCAUGUUGUGCUGUGUUGGGAUGGCUCCAGGGCGAGACUGGCUGGUGGAGCUUUAUAACGCGAUGCAGGCGGAAGUUUGCUCGGAAGGUGAUAGCAUGUGCAUAUGAACUAUACGCGAUGGAUUGGAUAGAUGAAUCAAUUCUGAUAAGUGUUGGAGCACAAGAGUGGAAUUCAAGUGUACACAAUGUACUUCAAAAUGGCGAACAAUCUAUAUGACAUCAUUUUAACAAGGUUCGUUGGGUGCUGCAAAGUUCAAGGAUAUGCAAAGUGGUGACAACGAUGCUAUU